CCUACGGGGGGCAGCAGUGGGGAAUAUUGGGCAAUGGAGGCAACGCUGACCCAGCAACGCCGCGUGAAUGAUGAAGGUCUUCGGAUUGUAAAGUUCUGUGAUGGGGGAUGAACACAAUGCCGGUACUCCAAUAGCAAGCCACGGCUAACUACGGGCCAGCCGCCGCGGUAAUACGUAGGUGGCAAGCGUUAUCCGGAAGGACUGGGCGUAAAGGGUGCGUAGGUGGUUUAGUAAGUUGGCGGUGUAAUUCCGGGGCGCACCCUCGGCGCUACCGCCAAAACUGUUUGACUAGAGUGCAGGAGGGGUAAGUGGAAUGCCUAGUGUAGCGGUGAAAUGCGUAGAUAUUA
rnacentral:rRNA from 1 species